rnacentral:lncRNA from 1 species
GGGUGGGAUCCUGGUUCCUCCUCAGGGAAGAUACGUAACAAUAUCUUUGAGCCUUUCUGCAGAACGAAAGCCCCCAACACAUGGAAGAACUGCUUGAUGAAGAAGGACGACCACCAGAACUAGUCCUGGGACUGCUAAACAGCAGCCCUGAGAAUCAUUGCAAGCUUGGCUCUACCCUGCUCCUUACCUACGGCCCAAUUUUCCAUUCCCCAAACUAUAAAACCACCUCCUAAUCUCUCCCAAAGGGGGCAUGGUCUUUAAGGCAUUAGGCUGCUGUGGCCCCCUUUGCCUGGCAAAGCAAUAAAGCUCUCUUUUUCUCCUUCACCCCCCACCCCCAAGUGCUGCUAAACCUCUUAGUCUGUGGCGCAGGCUCAUCGGAUGAUCUGCAGGGACUUGGUUCCUCUCGUUCAAGAUGGAGGUGCCGGGAUGUGUCAUCCAUCAUCUUCUGCCUUCUGUGUGGCCUCCCAGCUUCCAGGGCCCCGUGAGUUGUCCCAACCCUCCUUCCAGAUCGGUUUGGCCCUGAUGCCGCUGCCGCAAGAGUGCAGUGACCAGGCUUUCCAGGGCUGCUUCUCACCGACACCUACAAUGGUUUUUCUUCUCUGACCAGUUUCGGUUCUGGGCAGUGAGGCUGAGUCUCUGAAUAACACCGUGUCUUCUAACCCUUGAGCAAGACCCCUCCUGUGCACCUGGAGUGCCCAGCCAGGGCCACAGCCGGUACUGUGUCCCACUGCAGCCUGGGGCAGCUUCCGUGGGCAGUUGUUAGUGUUUCUGGCUUUGCUAGAGCCCCUCUUGGUCACUGCUUUCUUGCUGGGAAUACAUGCACAUAGCAAGUAAAAACAGAGCUGGAUUCAGAUCAGACACAUUGGUUCCACGGCUUACCUCUGCCGCAUAUUGGCUGUGAGAUGUUUGCUACAUCACUAAUCUCAACUAUAAAAUAAUAAUAAUAAAAAAACUCUAUCAGUCAGGGUUCUACAAAGAAAUAGAACCAAUAGGAGAUGGAGACUUAUUGUAAAGCAUUGGCUGACACAAUUUAAGGAAUUUAAAAUAAUUAAAUUGGAAGUUCCCUUCAUGGCUCAGUGGUUAACAAGCCUGACUAGGAUCCAUGAGGAUGCGGGUUUUAUCCCUGGCCUCGCUCAGUGGGUUAAGGAUCCGGUGUUGCCGUGAGCUGUGUUGUAGGUCACAGACGUGGCUUGUACCCCAUGUUGCUAUGGCUGUGGCGUAGGCUGGCGGCUACAGCUCUGAUUCGACCCCUAGCCUGGGAACUUUCAUAUGCUGCAGGUGUGGCCCUAAAAAGCAAAAAUAAAUAAAUAACUAAAAUAAUUAAGUUGGCUGACAAUUUAUUUCAAGGAAUUGGCUGAGACAGUUGUGGGAGCUGGAAAGUCCCAAGUCUCUGGGGCAGGUCAGCCGGCUGAAAACAGUAGGCAGGAGUUGACCUUGCAGACUUGGGACAGAAUUUCUUCUUUGGGAAACCUCAGUGUUUACUCUUAAGACCUUCACCUGAUUGGGGGAGGCCCACCCACCUCCUCAAGGGUACUCUUCACUUAACGUCAACUGGUGGUAGGUAUUAACUACAUCUACAAAAUACCUUCACAGCAAUACCUAGGUUAGGGCUUGUUUAAAUAACUGAGUUUGACAGCCUAGUCUGACUGACCAUAAAACUGACCGUCACACUCUCUCACAGAAGAGUUACAAGGAUUAAGGAAAAUAAUGUAUGCAAAUUGCCAAGCAUAGGAUCUGGUCCAGAGCAAGUACUUAUUCAUUACUGAUAUUAUUAUUACUGUUAUUUUUUUUAUUUUCCACUUAUUUGUGGUCUGCCGCUGAUUCCACAAAGCUUUGGGCCUUGUUCCAACGUAUUUGCUGCUCUGAUACAUCACAUCUCCUAAGAGGAGGAUGUAGGCUGUGGGAACUCGGAGGCAGGCAUGGACCAAUCGGUAAGCUCCUGGAGGAGGAGCACAUGUCUGGUUUACACACAGCUCAGAAUAAAUGCUCCGUAUAUAUCGAGAUAAAUGCGCAAAGGAAGAUGAUGUCCUAAUAAGCGUGGCUGCCCAAUGCGUAUAAUAUGAGCCUCAUAGGCAAUUUAACGUUUUCCAGGAACCAUGUGUAAAGAAGACACAGACACUAAAAUCCAAAAUGUGAUCAAUAUGAAAAUUAUUAGACAUUUUAUAUUCAUUUUUCCCCACAUUAAGCCUUUGAAAUUCAGCAUGUGUCUUAUACUUACGGCACUUCUCCACCUGGACUGGCCAUAUCUCAAGUGCUCUAUAGCCACAUGUGGCUGGCAGCUACUGUACUGAGUGGCAUAAGCUUAGAGGAAUACUUCUCCAAGUUCAGUUACUGAAUAAUUGCAUCCUAACCCCUGGGGCUGAUUUAUGGAGCAGGUGGCAGGUUGAUAAUGGGUCCUGCUCUAGAACAAACUCAGUAGGAUUCACCAAAUGAAUCCACCUGUUUGCAGACUGUUUAUGAUCCGUCCUCACCAAAAGAAGAGCAGAAAUUGAGAGCAGACAUUCAGAAAAUUCUAUAACAAUUUGAUAGCGUAAUUUUACAUUCAUUGAAUCUAAUAAUAAAAAAUUGGGGGAAUUGAAUUACAUAUUAUUUAAAAUUUAAUUUUCCUAUAAAUUCAUAUGCCUUAUAUUUACAAAAGUGUUUGUCUAGGAUGAAGUGAAAAGAAAUAAAAACGGGCCCUUCACCAGAGAGAUUCUGAGAAUCAGGGUCUCCGGGGUAGGGAUGGGGGAUUUGUGUUUUUAACAAGCCCCCUAAGGAUUCCUAGACACAAUGAAACUUGAACCUUCUGGAAUUCCAAAAACUCCAAGAAGUGUGUACCUCCUUGUAUUUUUAUUUUUGUGUUUCCCUCCAAAUUGACAUGUCCAGAGGCAGAACCUCGAGACUGGGUGGGCCUUUAUAACAGGGCAGCUCUGCUGACUUCAAAGACACUGACCCAGUGCCAGUGGGGAGCCCUGUCCCGCCCUGAGGUCCACAUCAGCCAGAACGCCAGGCCCGCACAGUCCUGCUUCUUCUUGAGACCCUUUUGUGAAUCCUCUAGCAUCCUGGGAUUUUGAAGGUUUUCUCUGAUCCUCCACACAGAGAAUACGACUUUUCAAUCUCCAUCUCUUGGAGCAGACAGGCAAUCUGUUUAAAAAAAAAAAAA